GCAUAGUUGAAAGUUAUCAAGCAAGGUUCGCGCAAUAGAGAUAUUUAAUAACGUGCGUGGAGCGCGCGUGAAAAGCGCGCCGCGCCUCUUUCGACCUGAUUUAAAACAUACCACCGGCUCGCGCCAAAAGGAAACGCGAUUCUUGCCGCAACAUCGACAACGUCGGAUAUCUAAGGAUUUCUUCGCUCUCACGAUGCACACCUACCAACGCGAAAUCGAGAAUGCCUCUUAAAACGCUCUCUCGCCUCUCGGUCUAAUCCACGCUAGGAAAAUCUACUGGAACGGAACGCCAUAUCGUUCGUCGUUCUCUUCGAUGCGCCAGAAAUACUUUUUCGUUUUUAACGAUCCAUUAACGUCGUUGCUCUACAAAUCGCACGUCUAUCCGUGUCUAUCGAAGAUAUUAAAUACAACGAAAAGAAGAGAAAAGAAAAAUGUUUCGUGUGUUUCCGGAAGAAAACGAAGACGUUGAAAAUAUCGGUAAACCAGAGAAACGAUCAUGGACCCGUUGAUUGAAAUUUAAUCCCUCUCCCUCGUUGCUGUACGACGAGAAAGGGUCUAUCAUUUGGCUUUCCGAUGGGGAAUCGAUCGGUCCUUUUGUGCCUAAAAUGCAGGGCGAAGGGUUGGCACGGCGCUGGUACUGUGACCUUGAACAGGAUACCCGGAGCAGGGCGCUUGCGCGGCCGAAUUCGAUCAUCCCACGUCCGGGGAUCCUUGUGUCGCACCACCUCUCCCCGCGUGUCCCCUCUUUUACCAUGGAAAGUCGCUUUUCACUUUCACGUCCCUUUCUUCCCUUUCAAGUACACGCGCCGCGGCCCUUUCAUGUGACUCGAGUAGCGGGAGGCCCUUGGUGCGCGCGAGAGCACGUGCGUACGCACUUGAGCGUAUCGCAUGCAGCGCUUUCACGAUAAGAGCGAGAGUAAAGACUGAUCGUAAAGAAUGAAAUCUUAUUCUAGUAUCGUCAGCAUUGACAUUUACGAUACGGGAAAAGGCGACAGGAUUUUCGAUUCGUCCUCCUCCCUCUCUCCGAUUCUCGGCUAUAGAAGAAAGAAGUUUAGAGUCACGUCUCUCCAUCCCCCUCUUGCCACCAAAGGAUUUUCGCCCAUUGAAUUUCCGUGGAGGCGAAUAAGUUUAUCCCGAGGCUGGAUUCGUUUUAUCACCGAUUUAUUUUUACGCGUUCGAGUCGAUGGAAUUUUUACCUAUUCCGGAUCUUUGAGUCAUCAAACGGAGGAUCUACGUCCGACGCGAACGAUCGCCGGGAAUUGAACGUUUUGCAAACAAGACACGUGGCUUUGAACGAUACACGACAUCGGUCCAGCUCGAUUUAGUCACGAACGACAGCGCGAAUGGUGUCUCUACUUUUUUUUUCAAGCGUGACUUUUAUAUCAGCUAUUUAAUCGGGAUCUUUAUUCCAUCGUCUGCUUAGAAACUGCAGAUACGCUCGCUCCGAGACUUUAUCGCAGCUGGUCCUAGAUAAGAAUAAGCCCGAGUUGACAGACCGAUUGUAAUUCGAUGAUAAUUUUUAAUUAAUCGUUCGAACGUAUUCCGAACGUGUUCUGCGCUAAGUCGAUGAUUACUUUAUAACGUAAGAGAGAAAUAAAAAGGAGAGAAGAAAACUAAACGAAAGAAGAUUAAAUUGCGUGGACAGUCUUGGUUUUACUUGAUAAAAGUCGUCAACCUUUAUCACCAAUCAGACUGUAGAAUUUCGAUAAUGUUCAGCCCAACCGUGUAUUUAGCGUUUAGUUGAUAAUCCAACGGAAAAAUCGUGCACUCGGUGGAACGGAGGUCUGUUUCCACUCGAAGUUAAAUAAGACGAGAUCCCGCGAGCGUGAGAAGCGUGUAAGCCGAGAGUAGAGAAUGGUCGAGGAAUUUCCACGAAGCCUCUUCGAUCGCUCGGCAAGCCCGGGGUCCGGUAGUCGUUAUGUACAUUGGUGGCUCGCAUAAAGGCCACGGAAAGAGCCGAAACGAGACGGAAGGGACCGAAGUGUAACGCCGACGGUCGAGCACGAGCAACCCUCGGCAGGCUGCGACUGCUAUGGCUAUUGACCGAACUUGGCGGACCGGCCGGUCAGCUGUGCGCCGAGCCGCCGGAGAUAUUUUCUCUGGCAGGAAAUCGUCCGCGUAGAUGUAUGGUUCGCGGCCGGUGGCAACGGCAAAGAAAAGCCUGCCGGAGAGAAGAACGGAGUUGUCGAGUGUGUCGGACGAGAUCCGUGGAAAAGUUUGACGCUUCGGCAACGAUCGGCGAAUGUGGAAAGGCAGAAGAAACCCAGAGAGACGAUAUCGGACAGCUAGACAGAGAGUCCGUGCCAAGUAUCGUAGUAUGUGACCGGUGAUUGGACAAGAAAUUCGUGGUGCGACUUAACGCUGUGUGUACUUUGGGAAAUCAUCAAGGAACACUGACUGAUCUCUCGCGACUUUGGCGACCGCGAUCGAGUGAAAGCCGAAAACUUGAAAACGUUCUCCUUAUGCUUGUGAAUGAUGGAAUAAACUUGCACGGAGUAGGAGGACGUCGGUGUGUCACGAAAAAGAGCAGAAGAAAUAUAGAGGAGAAAAAGGGGAAGAAGUUGAAGACUUGGCCCGCGGUUGGUAGUCGGCACGUAGACCGGCUGUACUCGGCCAGCAGACGAGUGUGAAACAGAGAAGUGGAAGAGAGCAAGGGAACGAAACGCGAGAGAAAGAAACAAUAGUAGCGAGGGUAGAAAAAGAGAGGGCGACGAAAAGAGUGAAGGAACGAACGGUGGUCGGGAAAGAGAAAGAGUAUAUCGCAGAGGAAAAAGACAGACGUAUAGAUAGGUGUCGUGCACAUACGUGCAGAAAGUGACGUGUGUACCGUCGUCGUGUGUGCAGGUGUGCGCGUGGUGCAGGCUGCCGGUGCAAAAAGUGCAGUGCCCAGUGGACUUUUCCAUCUCGUGCGUGCGCUGUUUCUGCGAGUAGGCACGUAUAUGCCGGUGUUCCGGUGUGGACUGAUCGGAGAACGAAUAGGACGGUAAGAGAGUUCGAUACUAUGGUUUUCUUAUGCCCGAAGCUCGAUUAAUGAAAGAAAAGUCUCGUUCCAAGUGCAUCGUAGCUUUUCGCAGUAUUGUCGAAAUUCGGCUGUGUCAUUUUGUAGGAAUUGGAAAAUCGAGAAGCAAGAAUCUUUUAGUAUCGAUUUAAAAAGCCUACUAGAAUCGUUUGUCUCGACAGAACGGUCUAUCAAGGAGAAAAGGAUAUACGUGUGGCGAGAAAAGAAACGAGGUAAUAAAAUCGUCCGUGACGAACUGCUUUACCGACAGACCCGUUGACUCACUGCUGGUAAGGUGGCUCCAUAGUGAUCUAUCGACGAGGAAGAACGCCAGGCAGACCGAGGAGACGCAGCAGUCGCGGAUUACUGGUGGUCGUGAUAAGGGCAACCGCGGAUGUGUUCCGUUUUGUGAUCGACGAUCUUUGCGCGGAUCGUUUGAAUCGACGUCUACUGUUUAUUACACAAAGAACGAAGAAUAUGGAAACGUUGUUAAUUGGUUUUAUCGUACGGUCGACGACCGACUGUGAGAAUUAAAAAAGGAAGAGAAGUCGCCAGAUUCUCGUGCAACGUUACGUGUGACUUGGUGAACUCAUGAGAUUAGCUGAGCACGUUUCUACCAUGAACGAUCGCUCCUCUGUUCGUCCCUCACCGCAACUCGAGAACUACUUUGUAACUAUAUCUAACUCGUCUUGAAUUAACGCACGCUAUCAAGACGGCAGACAGAAGCCGGUUGUUUUACCGCAAUAAACGACGACGAUCGAAGGUUACGAAGAUCCAGAGCACCAAGAACGUCCUUUUUUUCGCGCUCUCUAUCUCUCCAUCUCGAUCUUGAAAAGGCAGUGAUCAAUUCUCCACGGGAGACUAAGAGGUUAGAAGAAGUAUCACGAAAGGAGCAACAAAGCAACGAAUAAACGUUAACGGGCACGUUUGCUUCGGUAGGCAGAAAUAAUCGGGAGAUCGUGGCGCGCGCAUGUCGUUCGAUCCGCGACCGAUUCGAUCUGAAGCGUGCGCGAGCAGAAAAUCUUGUUCGACCGCAUUGGUAAAAUAAUUCGAUCUAAUUGACGAAGGGAACCGCUUUAAGGUCAUCUGGACUUGCUCUUUCGAAUAACCCACGAGGAUCUCUCUUCUCUCGUCUAUACAGGCUCGCGGGACUACGUUGAAAAUCGUUCGGUGUCGUUGCUUGACGAAACCGGUUUCGUUCGGCUCGGCGAAUCUCGGCGUUUAUACAAAGGUCGUGUGUGCGCGCACAAGAGAGAGUGGUAGGAGUGAGAUUUAUGGAAAACGAAUUUACACGAGGUCACACCCACGGGAGCGACUCUCUCUCUCUCUCUCUCUCUCCCCUCUGUUUUUUUUUAUUUUCUCUUCUUUAUCUGUGGUGUCCAUCUAUUUCCACUUGGAGUAUAUUAAUAAUAAAGGACGAAGUUGAGGAAUGCAGCUCGAUUCACGUCAUUGGAUCACGUCGUUGGAUCACGUCGACCGAGAAGAGGUUACCCAUUGGAAAUUCGACGGACCUUCUCUCCCUCCUUUACGCUCUCUAUCUCUUUUCAUGCUAAUAACGAGUGGAAUCUUUCCUUCUCAAAGAUAUCGACGUGUUCGACGAUAAGCUAACCAUCGAAUACGAAACGACACGUUUCUCCGCAGCUGAUUGGCAAUUAACAUUGCGGCGAUUGGACGGAGAGCCGGUUUCCAGCGACGACUGGAAGAAGCCCUUCGAAUAGAACACAGAGAAAAUCGAGGAUCGCGUGUUGUCGUUUGACCGUGAGGAAAAAGAAGGGACAUACCGGCGAAUCGACGAAUCACGACCUACUCUACUACUGCGUCUGUCUCGGACGAAUAACCGAUCGCUGAAUUACUCUCUGCCGCGUCUCUGGAAAAGAAAACGAAAGAAAAGAAGAAAGUGUGCAGCGCGCAGCUCGAUCACGGGUGCGUUGGUGGCGGCGACAUGCGAAUGACCUUGAAACGCGACUCGACCGAAGCGAUCACGUUUUUAACACGCGAGAAUCUGACAACGACGACGAGAACGUACCGGCCCGGAGGACAGCGGAGACAGAAGGAGAGUAAGUAAAAUAAGUAGCUUGUGUGUGUUCCGUGAGACGGAACCGAAAGGCGGAACCUCGAGAGGAAACCUCGCCAGAGGCAGACGAGGCGAACGCGAAGGCGACGAUGACGGGCGACUCGCGUCGAUCGAGGGAGGCUCAGGACUCGCCGGAAAGUAGCAACUCGAAAUCGACAGCCUCAGUGGAAGCGUUUAAUAAAACCUAGUCGUGGCUGGAGCUUUGAUGAUCGUGAUCGGCCUCAGCGAUGAAGCGGGCGUCGAGUGCAUCCGCCGCAGCUGCUGCGACCGCUGCUGCCUCGCAGGUGCAGCCUGCGGUCAGCUUACACGGCAGGAUACACGAUCUCUUUAGCCCGAUAACGACGGCGAGCUACGCGGACAAGGAGGAAUACGAGAAGCUCGCCGAAACCAAGUUCAGGACAGACACGACCAAAGUAUUGCCCAAGGGAAACCCGAACGAUGACACUAAAGCUAAAUCCACGGCCAUGUCGCGACUCUUAGCCGUCGAUUCUGACAAUUACAUGCUUCGCAAAGGCGCCACCUCGGCGAACGCCGCCGUCGCCUCGACGUCCGCCGUCUCCGCGACGAUCAUGCCGCCAACCACGGUACCGAACGCUUCCACCUCGAUCGCCCCGAAUCUGCAACUACAUCCCAGACAGAUACAACCGCCACGUAAUUUUCACGCCAACCUUCUCGCUAUUAACAGCAACGGAGCCUACGGUGAUCUUCAAAGUACCAUUACGAUCAGCGCAGCGACGAGUCCCGCCAACUCCACCAAAUCUUUGCCCACCAACGAGCCGUCGUCACCCCCCGAACCAGUCAGACCUAAAGGAAGUGCCGCGUUGUCCUUGCUCAAACGAUACUCCGUUAACCAGCAACAAACCCACUCUGUCAAUAAUACCACUUCCUCCUCUUGUUCCGCAAAUUUCACGAACGUUCCCGUAAUCCGAAAACAACAAGUUUUGAAGUCGUCGUUGACCGCCUUUGUGGACGAGUUUCGACCCGAUCCAACGUUGAAAAGCACGUCGAAGGAAUUGCUCGAAAGUUCAGAGGAAUUCGCGCGUCUUUGGCCGAACGGGCUGUUUCCUUGCGCGAGAACAGCGUCGUUCCAUCAAUAUCUAUGUUCGUGCGAGAAUCUUCUGCGGCAACAAAACGGCGAAACGUCGAUGAACGGUGUCGCGUACGAUCUAGUGACAGAGAAUGGCGUCUAUUCGAAUUCAAUCGGUCACGAGGGCUUCGGUGGUGAUAGCGGGCAGCGUGCCCUUGACAAGGGCGCUGGAGCCGGCCGUCAGCCGGCUGUUAUGCGUAAUCUAUGCUGUUGCAUGUGCGGUUCUCUAUGUCCUCCAGAGUGCCAUGCGUGCUUCCACGUGGUCUGCUCGGAGCACAGCGGGCAGCACCUCUGCCAAUGGAGUAGCAAGGGUCACGCGCUACCGGGCCAGGUUCUCGACAAGGACAAGCCCGUAAGCGAGUGGACGUCCCUAAACGUCGUCGAAUGGAUGGCUGCUCUAAAUCUCUACCGCUAUGCGGAUGUUUUCAAGUCUAAGGACGUCAAGGGGAGCGAUCUUCCUUUUCUGGACCGGGAUAAGCUGAUGAAUAUGGGCAUCAAGGAUGACUUCCACCAGAAGACCAUUUUAGCCUGCAUCGAGGAGCUCUGUCAUGCUACGUCUGCAAGCGCCACGUUGUCAGAGGCGGCCGUCGCGGCUACGUCGAACUCGUCCUCCGGUAGCGUGGCCAACGAGGCGAUCACCGGCGGUAGCGGGUCCGUAGCCACCGGCAAUUCGCCGCACACCCUCAUGCCUCAGAGCUUUAGCGUGUUGGAGAAGUGCGAUAAGUGCCAUAAAUACCUGAGGGGCCUGCUGCACCAAGGCUUUCUCUGUCUAGAUUGUGGUCUGGUAGCUCACAGGACUUGUACAGCAACGGGUUUACCCUCCAACUGCAUACCAGUCGACUCGGAAAAUCGUAGCCAUAGAUUUACUCCAGUAUUCGGUCUUGGCCUGUGUUCGCAAUUCGACAUCUCCUCGCGCUCGGCUCCGCUGUUGGUCGAACGAUGUACUAGUGUCUUGGAGGAGAAGGCAUUCGACGACAGCACGCUGGAUCUGUACAAAGUCUACCACAGUAGUCCUCCCAACGAGCAAACUUUGGAACUGCGGCAAAAAUUAAACGAAGAUGUGUGUAACGCUGAUCUAAGUUCGUAUAGUGCUCAAUGCGUAGCGAGCGUGUUGAAAAAAUUUCUACGAGAGUUGCCAGAUCCUGUGAUUCCUGUACAGUUUUACGACCGAUUUAUAGAAGCAUCCAACACGAAAAACGAUGAGCAGUGUGCAGCACGUCUGGGACAACUCGUUUCAGAACUUCCAGAUCAUCACCGUAGCACUUUGUUCCACUUGAUGGCUCAUUUCUGUCGUAUUUGUCAAUUACAACACGGAAGGGGUUACACGGAACCUCCCACAAUCCUUAUACAAGUGCUGUGUCAUAUUUUCGUUAGACCUCCUUGGGAACGGAUCGUACAAAUAGUACAUAAUAUCGAGGCGCAUAUACGAAUAGUGGAGGUGUUGUUGUUGCAUGGUGAUUGGAACGAGAGGCUGCCUCAAUUUGCGAGCCCACCGCAAUUACCACCGCGAAAAGUUUCGAGGCCGCAGUUUCCAGUUUUAGAUCCGUUCUCCGUUCUCGACGAGGAUAAUUCGAUGGACCGAACGGUGUCAGUCUCGGAAAGCAAGGAGCCUCAGCAACAACCCCACAGGCCACGCACGCUUCAGGAGGCUGAAUGGUAUUGGGGAGAUAUCACGAGGGACGAGGUGAACGAGAAGAUGAUUGAUUCGCCGGAUGGCACUUUCCUAGUACGCGAUGCGUCUUCGAAGGGUGGGGAAUACACACUGACGUUGCGUAAAGGUGGGACCAACAAGCUUAUCAAGAUUUGUCAACGGAACGGAAAAUAUGGCUUCUCGGAGCCGUAUAACUUUCAUUCGGUUAUCGAGCUGGUGGAUCAUUACAGGAAUUGUUCUCUGACGCAGUAUAAUUCCACGCUGGACAUUAAACUGUUGUACCCUAUAUCCCGGUUUCAACAGGACGAUGAAAUUGCAAGUACAACGGACAUGGCGAACGUUGCACAGAAAUAUGUCGAACUUGAUAAAGAGAUAACCGACGCGUUGAAAGAGUAUAGAGAACUUUCGGAAUCGUACAAUAGAACGUCUUUCGAGGUCCAGUUGAAACGGCAAGCGUUAGAAGCUUUUUCGGAGGCUAUCAAAAUGUUCGAGGAUCAGAUGAAAUUGCAAGAGAAAUUUCAGAAAGAAGCUCAACCGCACGAAAUAUCAACAUUAACUGAUAAUGCCGAGUUGUUAAAACGAAGACUAAAAUCCUUAGAAGAUAGCAGGGAGGAGUUGGACUGCAGUUUGAAGGAACAGAUCGCCUACAAUAGAACUCUGGAAAGAGAAAUGCACAAAUUGAAACCUGAGCUAUUGCAACUCGUACGUCAAAGGGAUAAACAUCUAAUAUGGUUGAAAAAGAACGGCAUGAAACAGAAUAAAAUAAGCCAGCUCGUGCUAAAUCAUUCAUUGUCGAAUCCUUUGUUGGGUGACUUGGCGUACGGAGAUCUUCAAGAAGUGGAUCUUGAAGUUCAUUCCGACGAAACGACUUGGCUAUAUCUCGAAUGUUCUCGGUCCGACGCCGAUCGGAUACUCGCUGAGAGGCCAGAUGGUACUUUCCUUAUUCGAACAUCAAGAACAGGACAAUACGCACUUUCCAUCAUGUGUAACGGUACAGUGAAUCAUUGCAUAAUAUAUGGUACCGAACGUGGUUUCGGAUUCGCUGAACCGUACAACAUCCACAAGAGCUUGAAACAUUUGGUGCUACAUUACGCACAGAAUUCCCUGGAGGAACACAAUGAGAGUCUUAACACGACUCUGGCUUAUCCAGCUUUUGCCUCGCCCGCUGCAUUGUCGCAGUUGCAGGCUCAACAAAUGCAGUUACAGAUGAAAAUGCACACGCAAAACCAAUUACAGCUAACACGUCCCCUCGAAAAUCAACAUUACAUGACGCACACGUAAUGCUGGUGUGUCGAUCAAUAGAAUUACAGAAUUAAUUAGGAUGUACGUGUGCAUGAAUGUUUCCGUGAUUAGCGUCGAGGUGUGAUUCAGAAAUUGGAAAUUAACGAGGUGAUGACAAAUGGUUUUUCGAGGUCGGAGGUAAACGCUUCCUUAAACAAAGUACAGUGGUAUCGAUAACGAAGGGAGAAACAUUGGUAGCGGUAGCAACUCUCAGAAGCUAUAGUUUAUAAUGUAAUUAUAUACGUAUGUUACCGUGGCGCAGCAAAUAAUUGUUUCGGUCUACACAGGACCACACUGCAUAGAUUUUACAAUUCUCUCGGGGUCUGGAGACCUUUUUGACAGAUCUUAUGGAUGAUCGACCGAAAAAAUUCACUUGAGCAAGUUUGCGAGAUCCUGAGUACGGAAAUGAUCUUUUGUUGUCAGUUUGUAUCUUCGAUAUAGGGAGAAUCGUUUGGGUGUUGGAACGUGAUACGUUGCAUUUUUCAAUAUGCACUUAUUCGAUCGAAUACGUCAGAGUAACAGAGUCAUAUAUCUAGUCUUACAGGCAAUUUGAUGCAAGAAACAGAUACGAUAGAGCAGAACGAAACAUAAGUCUGACCACGCUCAAACUACUCGCAGUUUCGAUUGGUAAUCAGGGUAGUUGCAUUUCGUAAAAAUUUGAUACUAAUCUAAGGUUGAUGGACGCAUCCGUUCUUCUCGGGGCUAACGGAUAAACACAACACAUUUCGUAGACCGCUGUACUUCUGACUUCUUCGAUAAUUUUUUGUGACUAUUUCUCAGACCUCCGUUUGUGUAACGCGCGGUACGCGAUACGCGCGGGCAUCGUUUAUUGUGAAUGUGAUUCACAAAGUAUAAGAUCUACAACAGUGAUAUUAGAAUAUAUAAUUAGAACGCGUCGCAUAGGACAUAUAACUGAGCCUUUUGGAUGCUUAUGGAAUGUUUUUGGUAGUGAUAUACUAAAGUAGCAUCAAUCAUGGUUGAACAACUGGACGACGAGGCUGGUUUCGUAUACUUCGAUCCACGUUACUUCCGAUCGAUCUUCGAUAUAAAACGUGCCCGCCCGCGUUGCUUACGAAUUUCAUUACAACGAAAAAGAAAAAGGAAAAAAAAAAAAAUACAAAAACAAAGUUUUUCACGGAUGCGCGGGAACUUUUUUAUAUAUAUAUGUUAGAUUUCAAGUGCUGUGCCAGAUCUGUAUAGGCUACUACGCGUGUCGAAACACGUGUGUGUGCUAAGGGAGAGAGUGUGAGAGAGAGAGAGAGAGAGAGAGAGCGAGUGGGAGAGAGAGAGAGAGAGAGAGAGAGCGAGUGGGAGAGAGAGAAAGGGAAGUCGUUUUUCGAAAAGUUAAACAUAUUGUCUGUGAUUUCGGAUUGCCGAGAAAGAAUAUAUAUAUAUAUAUAUGUAUAUGUAUAUACAUAUAUAUGUAUAUAUUAUAUCGUGUCUAUAAUUUUCCAAUUGACUUUUACAAUUCACUUUUCUCCGCUAUCACUACUUGUUUUUUCCCUUUAAGGUUUACGAAGCGUGUGAUCGUUGGUUUAAUACGCGCGUCGAUUUCGACGGAUAUAGGUAGAAUUACAUUGCGACGGAAUGUGCAAAAGCUAAUCGUGAUUUUAUUAAUCGUAAUUUUUUCUUAUGUUCGGUACUGCUUUUCUGUGCGUCGUGUCGAGAGUCUUACGAGUCUCGUCGCGCUCUUUUCUCUAUUCCACUCGAUGUAUUGCAGGCCCUGAAACGGCACGAGACGUCGUUUUCAUUUGAUUUUAUCCGUAUUCCCAUUGCACCGAAUACCGGUAAAAUCUAUGCACGCAGAACGCGAUGUUCUCGUAAACGUGGAACAGGGUCGAUCUCUUUCUCGCUUUAAAUAUCAAAGCUCAUUGUGCUCUUUGAAUGAUCUCAAAAGGUAACGGUAGUCUCGUCGGUUGGCACGGCAACGAGAAGAAUCACAGUUGAACCGGUCGCGAUUGAAUCGAUACUCGAGAAAUUUUACGUAUUACAUUGCGGUCCGUAAUCGUAAAAGUGUAUCGAGGGCGAUCCACGCGAACAAUGGUUUCACGACUUGUAGCGGUCACUUGAGCCGAAAACGACGAUUCUUCCCGUUCUCGUUUCUUCCCGCGUGAUUCUCGCUACCGCAUAGUCAAAAGAAAACUGAACCGAUAUAAUAUAAUGGAUCGAUGGACGAGCGAGAAACGAUCUCGAGCUUGAAAGAGUUGAAAGCAGCGGCGAGCUUCAAUUUGUUUUUCUCUUUUCUUUUUUCUUUUCUUGGUCGUUCGUUUGUUCGGUAUAGGAUGAUGAAUUUCGAGGAUAGGCAAGAAACAUGGACAGAUACGCAAGCGACAGAAAGGGGGAAAACAGACUGUUUAAAGAAGAGAAAGGCUCGUUGCUCAUCCUAAAGGCUUCGAAUUACGUAGAUUUACGUAGCUUAGGUUUUUUAUACGAGAAAAACAAAUUAAGUGCCCUGGCGCUGAUAGGCUUAUAUAUCGUAGAUUCCGUGAUAGUCCAAUCGCGUACAGGUGCAGUAUUCGAUCGUUGUUCAAUCGCGUCGUCACCGGGUCGCUCGCUUCUUGGACGUUUCGAUUAUUCAAGUCAUUGAACGUUUUGCUUUCGGAAGUCCGUAGUUUCCUUUGCAUUUUAAUCCGUUUAUCGUUCGACGUGUUUCGUCGAUUCUAACAUAGGUCUUUAUGUUUAUCAUUCUGCAUGACUGUGAAAGAUAGAAAGAAACACAAGGAGUAGAAACUAGAAGGCAACGUUUAUACCGUCGAUAGGAAGAAGGAAGAGCUACGAUAGAAUCGACAGCGGAAUUAAACAUCUAAUUAUAAUUUCAAAUGGCCGAUUAGAAUGGUAAAGAAAGCCACGACUUGCCGCGAAUAAUUAAUGACGGCGAAGCAGACGGAAACGUGCAAUCCGAUGACGGGAAGCGUAGCUUUUACGUGGUAUAACCAGCUGUAACGGCGACGAGUUCGAGAUCCGCGUUGAACAUUCACUGGAAUAUCGGAUUCGUCGAAUCCUCGUUGAAAUCUUCAAAUAGAAAUAAAAGAUACGCGCGUAGAGAGAGAGAGAGAGAGAGAGAGAGAGAGAGAGAGAGAGAGAGAGAGAUCUUCGAAACCCACGACCAUUAUCGCUCCUUUUGUAGUUGGUUCUCGAGUUUGGGAGGACACAGACCGGCUGCUUGUUCCAACGGGAUCCAUCGGGUUUCACGCGACUCGCUCUCGUCGUCCUUUCUCAGGAGCAGGAGUAACGCAAUCCACACAAGUUAAAAGUACACGACUACAUACACGCGACCAUCGUACAUUAUCAAAUACAUAUAAACAAAAGUGCGCGCAGAUGCAUGCCCUUGUGCGCGAAAUACAAACAGUGAGUUAGAGAUAAAGAAGAAAAGAAAAACAUAAAAAAGAAAAAAAGAUACGAGAUACAUUUGUUGGCGAAAGAGUAUAUGUCGUGGAAGUAUGAUGAAAAAGAGGAGAAUGAUUUGAGAAAAAUGGAAAAAAAUAUAUGAACAUAUAUAUAUAUAUAUAUUAUAUAUAUUAUAUAUCUAUAUAUUUUUACUUACUUUGAAAACAAACCUUUAAUUGAUUAUUUAUAAUAUAUUCGUGCGUAUGUUGUAUGCAUAUGUGUAUAUACAUAUAUUAUAUCGUAGUCACAUCGUGGCGUACCAUUCGAAGGUACGUAAACCUUGACGAUCGCGUUUUCCACGAGGAACGACGCGUAUCGUGGAACGCGAGAUCCGCAAGGCUCGUGCGUUUACGAAUAUCGUCGAUGAAAGGCAACGUGCACGCGUGCACACACACGUUCAAUAAUUUUUCCAGGGAAAGACCAGGCAUCUUUUUGUAAUAACGCCCGCGUUUGUCUGUGACAAGCGCCGACAAUUAAUAAGCGCGACCGAACGUACAAAACGUUUCUAUUUUUAAGGCCGAGCGAAAUUCGCUUUGGCAUCGCUCGAUCGGAACGUGAUCGCGAACGGCUGCGCAACACCGACGGGAAUCGUUUCAAUUUUCACGCGCCCAUAUCCGAAAAACGUUAUUGGCUUGUCUUGACCGAUCCUUUCUUUCUUUCAUCGUGUGCACGCGUUUACGUCGAUAGAUUGGAUCGCAGGCGGUUUAUUUGGAGCAUCGAUGGAGUCAAAUAAGAUUAAGAAAGAACGCGAGAUGCUCGCGCGCAAGUGAAACCAAGGUCGGGGUAAAUUAAGUGCAACAAAUACUCUGUGUAUAGAACGAAUAUGGAACGAACAGGGGACCGAAGAAAAUUUAAAAUAUUCAGUGAUUAUCGCAGCGCCGAGGGUAUUUACCGUAGCAACGAAAGGCAAUUAUGUCUGCAACUAUGAACGAAACAGGACAGGACCGAAUCAUUCCAAGUAUUUGUCGUUUGGACUUGAUUUACCUCGAUCGUAUUUAAUCCACUGUACGAAGUGGGCUAUAUCCGAUCUAUCCGAGUCGAUUUUUCACGUAGACUCGAUGACGAUCGACCGCGAGACGUUGAUCUCUCGCGGUAUCCUUUUGUAUUUUUCGAAAAGGGGACGAGUCCUCGUUUGAGAUUUUAUGGCAUAAUAAAAAAAAAGAGAGUCAGCCAACGCUGAUUGUCCGAUACAAAACACGUGUUACAUCACGAUGUACAUAGAAAUAUAUCCGAGCUAUGGUGGUGAGGCUCUUUUAUAUAUAUAUACAUAUAUAUAUAUAUAAAACAAACAAAUACUAAUAAUAAAAGAAAAAAGGGAAGAAAAAAAAGAAGAAAAAGAGAAUGAUUUGGAAAUUAACGUGGACUUCUCGGCGGGACCGGUCCAACAGUUUCUUUCGCGAGCCGAAACUUUAGCGAACGCUCGAUCAUUUUCACGACGGUGUUUACCUUUACAAUUCUUGUUCGGUCCGAUGAUCCUUGGAACGAUCGAUAUCCUUUUUUACAUUUGUGCCAGCGUGUCGACCGCCGUGCCUCGUCGAGUCGACGAGUCAAUUUCGGGGAACCAAAAGAAAUUCGAAGAUACGGGGAGAACUACAGAGAAAUCGGAUCGACUGGACGAGGCACCGUGACUUUUGUCGGCGAUUCAACGGGUGCUCGCUGGAUCGAAACGAGAUCGAUGGUUGAAAAAGGGGACGAGAAUCGUUGGAUGAUUUAGCGAUUGAGGAAUCGAGGAAAGAGAGAAUUCUAAGGGGGGCGAAAAACGGUUAGGAAGAGAAAAGAGAAGAAUGAUACGAGAUGAGAGAAGAUAACGUGUAAAGUUGCCUUAGUUUUUCUACAAGUUGAACAGGUGCGAUAUGUGAGCGAGAGCGAGAGAGAGAGAGAGAGAGAGAGAGAGAGAAAGAGCGCGUGCAAGAAAAAGAAAGUAGAAAGGUGGGGGAACAGAGAGGGACGAGAUAUUUCGUACGGUGCGAAUCGUCGAUAAACGAUCGAUCGACGAUCAACGAGAAUUUAUUGUACGACGGCAAAAGAAAAGAAAAGAGUGACAAGAGAUGAUCGAUCUAGUGAGAUAUUCUGGUAUGCUCGUCACGAAAUGAAGAGCCUUGCAACAUAAAGAAAGAAAUUUUCUGCGAAACAUUGAUAAUCAAAUCGUAUCGAUAACACUUAUCGUAAUCGAAACCAUAAUUUCUAAUACAUAAAUAGCGAUUCCUGUAAUAGUAUGCGAGCGCCGAUUUUUCCUGACAUUUGGAAAACUCUCAUAUAGAGGAUACGACGAACAGUUUCUCUGGACGUUCGUGGAUACUCUUUUUCUAAUAUUUGCAGCAAUAUGUAUAAAUAAUAUAUUACUCUGGCGGUUUAGCUAUGGGCAAAACUCUCAGGUUCCAGUUACUAACGAGAUAUUUAAACUACCUAACGAACUAUUGUACACGGAGAAAACGAGUAAUUUAAGCGUUACGAUACGUCCUUUUAUCGAGUAAACCGACGAAACAUGGAUUCGAUUCCUCUCUUUUGUCAAUGCUAACGAUUUAAGUAGAAACAAACAGGCCAAUAGGAAAUAGAAACUAGUGGAAAGAAUGAAGGAUCGCCGUAGACCAAUAUAUUGUUACCCUAGGCAUAACGAAUUAAUUGUAAAUUGUAAAAUCGGAGUAUCUCUUGACGCCUCUGCUCCAGAAAUGGCUGAGAUCGGGGAAAGACGAUUCCAAGAGAAAGUGCGAGAGUCUGUCGAGAAAAGCGUGUGUAUGCUUGAGAAGAUGCGAGAAGUUAAAGAGCGAGAAUGUUAAAGAUCACGCAAGAAUGUCGUGCAACGAUCUUCGCAAUUUACCCAAGUCUGUGUCCAAAUUACAGAAGAAAAGAGGUGGGUGGAGAAUUCGUUGAUCGUGUUACCUAUCGAGGGCAGUCAUCUCCGUCUGAUAUGCUUGAAAAAAUUCACAGAAUUGGGCGUUAUUUUCUAACGAAUUUUUCAUUUAAAGUUCAAACGAAACCGAAGACGACUGUGUGUAUAAAUUGAAGUUGAUUCACUGGUAAGCUCACUUAGCAAGGUGUUGCGAAUAUGCGCGACGUAAAAACGUAUUCUUGGCGCGUGAUGGAUCAUCGAGGAAUUCGCGUACGCUCUCGAGGACAACGUUCGCCGAAUAAAAUAUUGCCCAACUCUGAUCUCUUGCCAGUUAAGUAAAAACACGAUACAUCCCAUUUGGGGGAUAUCUCGAUCGUCUAUAAUAUACAAUACGCGUUCGAACCGCGAGAGCACGGCUUCAAGGCGAUUUCGCCCCUAUCGAUCGUCUGUGUUAAAAUAAAGCGUGUGUGUGUUUGGGGGGGAGAGAGAGAGAGAGAGAGAGAGAUAGAGAGAGUGAAUGAGAGAGAGAGAGAGAGAGAGAGAGAGAGAGAGAGAUCGGUCGCACGCGAAAACGUCUUAAAAUCGUGUUCGACGGUCGACAGAUUUCGUGUACGUCCAUUUGGAUCCUUGCCAGUCUUUUUCUUUCUUCGUUUUCCGUGGCCGGGUAUCGUGUGAGAUGCAAAUGUGUCGGUGGACAUCGGGGCGCCUGUAUGCGAGUGAAAAAGCAUGAUCGUGUGGUGGUUGCGCUGUAAGGCGAUAAUCGCUGAUCAUUAAACGAAUUGGUUCAGCGAAUGGAUUGUAUUUCGCGGAUAUGCGAGAGAGAGAGAGAGAGAGAGAGAGAGAAAGAGAGAGAGAGAGUGGGUGGGGAGGGGAGGGAAGGGAUUGAGAUGAGAAAAAGUCGAGAGGGGUGGGUUUCGGAUACCUGGGGCUUAUGGGAUGGGGAUUACACGGGGAGGGUGUUACAAAAGAAGGCAGAGAAGAAGUUAUCGAUAUACAAUUAUUACGUUAUUAACGAAUGUAUGCUGUCCCACUGUGAUAAAACUUUUUGUUUUUGCAUGUAAAAUAUACUAUUAUUGUCAUAAGUAUAUGAGACGAUGGAAAAGAACAAAAGGAAAAAAAAAGUGAAAUCAUAUUAUAAGAACGGUGCAUGUAUAUAGAUAUAUGCGCCGAGGCAUGCGCGAUCUUAGAACGAUCUAUGUAUGUGUACUUAUAUAUCUAUAUAUGUGCAGGCACACAGACACCAAGACACCUACACAGACACAUGUAACACAACACGAACAUCAUACAUAUAUUGUGAUUGAGUGUGCACGCAGUAAAAGUGUAUACUACUACAAAGAAUACAAAUUUUAAUUACCGGACCGACCUGUCUUCAUGCGCUUGCGAUCGAUGGUCGGAGCGAGGGUGGACGGGUGGCGGGAUCGUUCGUCGUUCGACGAUUUGGUGUAAUCCGAGCGGGCGCCAGUGCGUUUUACAAAUUUGCAAAAAUUUUCCAGCGAUUCGAAUGCUCUCGCGUUCCAAGGACCGAGAUACGAUUUGCAUUUUUUUCUUUUUUUCUAUUCGAACUACGGAUCGGGAGGAACAGCUUGCAAUGGUAUUCUGUCGAAAUUGCGAUUGGUAUAUAGCGGCUCGAUUAUUUCGAUGUCGUCUCCUGUUGGAGACUGAUCGAGGAAACGAACGGUUUAGAUGAUCGACGAAAUUCUCCGCGAAUAUAUCUCGUUUGUUUUUCGAACAAUAACGCGUAUAAAUAUAAUCGGUUUUAGUGGGACACGUGGAAUUUGACGGAUUCUGUCGAAGUGCAUGAAAACUGGUGGUACAAUGAAUGUUUACUCGCUUUUUCGCGCAACGGUCAUCCUCAUAUUGUACCGUUUAUUUGGUAGUUCUACCAUGUAAAACCAUUUAUAUUUGCAUAUGAUUAAUAUGUUUUACUUAUAA